rnacentral:pre_miRNA from 1 species
CAACUACUCCCUCUGUCCCAAAUUUCUUGUCUUAGAUUUGUCUAGAUACGGAUGUAUCUGUGACUUGAUACAUCCGUAUGUAGACAAAUCUAAGACAAGAAUUUUGGGACGGAGGGAGUACUUU